rnacentral:sRNA from 1 species
UUGUUGGUCCAACAAAUGAAUGCUCGAUU